rnacentral:lncRNA from 1 species
AUAGAUUUUUUAGAAAAGUGACAAGAAAGGAACGAGGCCAACCCAAAUAUCCUCUUAGAAGUAAACCAUCACCCAAUUUGAAAGAAGUACAAUCCCAAAAUACAUUCAAAUUUUUGCUAAUAUCUCUCCAAAUUGGAAAUGCAGUUGAUAAAGAUUUUCUUCCCUUUAGCUUAAAUUUUCUUCAUGGGUAACAUGCACAUCUAACUUAUACAGUCCAA